rnacentral:rRNA from 1 species
AUUGAACGCUGGCGGCAGGCCUAACACAUGCAAGUCGAGCGAGCGGCGGACGGGUGAGUAAUGUAUGGAGCUCCGUCCUAUAGAGGGGGAUAACUACGGGAAACGAUCGCUAACCCCGCAUUCUCUCGUAUGAACCCAUAUGGGAUUAGCUAGUAGGUGGGGUAACGGCUCACCUAGGCGACGAUCUCUAGCUGGUCUGAGAGGAUGAUCAGCCACACUGGGACUGAGACACGGCCCAGACUCCUACGGGAGGCAGCAGUGGGGAAUAUUGCACAAUGGGCGCAAGCCUGAUGCAGCCAUGCCGCGUGUAUGAAGAAGGCCUUAGGGUUGUAAAGCACUUUCAGCGGGGAGGCGUUACCCGCAGAAGAAGCACCGGCUAACUCCGUGCCAGCAGCCGCGGUAAUAC